rnacentral:rRNA from 1 species
GACGAACGCUGGCGGCGUGCCUAAUACAUGCAAGUCGAACGCUUCUUUUUCCACCGGAGCUUGCUCCACCGGAAAAAGAGGAGUGGCGAACGGGUGAGUAACACGUGGGUAACCUGCCCAUCAGAAGGGGAUAACACUUGGAAACAGGUGCUAAUACCGUAUAACAAUCGAAACCGCAUGGUUUUGAUUUGAAAGGCGCUUUCGGGUGUCGCUGAUGGAUGGACCCGCGGUGCAUUAGCUAGUUGGUGAGGUAACGGCUCACCAAGGCCACGAGGCAUAGCCGACCUGAGAGGGUGAUCGGCCACAUUGGGACUGAGACACGGGCCAAACUCCUACGGGAGGCAGCAGUAGGGAAUCUUCGGCAAUGGACGAAAGUCUGACCGAGCAACGCCGCGUGAGUGAAGAAGGUUUUCGGAUCGUAAAACUCUGUUGUUAGAGAAGAACAAGGAUGAGAGUAACUGUUCAUCCCUUGACGGUAUCUAACCAGAAAGCCACGGCUAACUACGUGCCAGCAGCCGCAGUAA